CUGACUUCGCUCCGAAGAACCCCCCUCGAGAGGCAAGAAGACGGACAAGAUAGAUUUG
rnacentral:sRNA from 1 species